AAAAAAAAGAUGCUGGAAUACUUGACCAGAGUGGAGUGUCCCACAAAACGGAUCGUGGCUUCAAAGCCCGAGCAGGGCUGUACGGGCUUUUGUCGUUGCUGAGGAAAUAUCAGCGAGGGGGUGAGAGAGCCUGUGGACUGCCCUCUGCACUUUCAGUGUCGCACUUGUGCAAGCCUCACUGGAAUAAUGCUCCCCCAGCCCAUACGGACGACAGAGACAAGUGGAGAUGCAACAGCCAAAUGUGGCAAUGAGGGCAGAUCAAAAAAUAUCCCGUUUUCAAAAGAAGCCCCCUUUGGAAAUAUAGGACUGUCUGCAGCAGAAACUCUUUGUUGUUCAACAACUCAGUUGCCUUUUUUUUCUCCAAAUUUGCAUCAAUGUAUUUUUUUGUCUUUUUUUCCCCGUCUGAAAAAAUCUCAAAUCUCAAAGCAUUAAUAUGCAACAGUUUUUAGGCACAUGCUGCAUAUUAUCUCCCAAUUUUUCAUGCAAUGGAUUUUGCUGUCAAUUCAGUCCUUGUCCGGCUUCAGCUUCUUUGAAAACAGGCAUAAUUUGAUAUAUAUGUAUAGGAAUUUUAUAUAUAUAUCAUAUGUAUGUGUUUUCACUGGUGCUCUGCUUGUGGGAUGCUCCAAACAGAAGUGGGAAGAGAAAGGAGAAGCAAUAAAAUGCUUUUUUUUUUUUUUUUUUAUUCCAUCCUCUCCCUUUGUUGUUGCUUCUUCAUCAGUGUGUAUUCCCUUAUUUCCUCGCUGCCUCAGUCUGCUCAGUGCGUCUGUAUCCCGUCUGCUGGUGAUGCUCGCGCUGCUGCUGCUGUUUUCUGCCAGGACUGGAUGACAAUGUCCCCCACACACACACACUCUCUCUCUUUCUCUCUCUCUCUCUCUCUCUCUCUCUCUCUCUCUCUCUCUCUCUCACACUCCUCCCUCUCAAACUCACUCCUCCCUCUCUCACUCACUCCUCCCCUCCCUUUCGGUCUCACACACACACACACAUCUUUUGUGCCUUAAUGAACGCAGCUCUUGCCUGCAGACUCUCCCUUUCACUCCCGUCCUCUCUCUCUCAUUAUGUGUCACAGACACUCUCUUCUCCCAGUUUAGUCCUUAGUCCCACGUUUUUCUUUUCUUUUUGGCUUCCAACUGUUACAACUCACUCCUUGUAUUUUCCCCUUCAUGUUCCCUCCAUUCCUUUCAUCUGCUUUUUUACGCAUUCAUCACCGUUUACCUCCUGUCUGUCUAACCUGUUCAGUUUGCGUGUGCAUGUUUUUAUGUGUAUCUGUGUGUGUGUGUGUGUGUGUGUGUGUGUGUGUGUGUGUGUGUGUGUGUGUGUGUGUGUGUGUGUGUGUGUGUGUGUGUGUUUACUGCGCUAAUGCCUCUGCACAUCCCCAUCUUUGUGGGAGCAUGCAUGAAACAUGUGUGAUGCUGCAGUCUUUAAGAGCUGAUUUAGGGAGAGGGAGAGAGGGAUGGAGGAAGAGAGAGAAAGAGGGAAGGAGGAAGCGAGGGUGAGAUAAACAGAGAGGAAGACGGAGGCAGGAAGAAAGGGAGGGGAGGAGAGAAUUGGACAGCGGAGCGGCUGCCAAAGAGAAGACUUGACAGAGAGUAGCAGGGGAGGGAAAGAAGAGAGGAAUUAUAGCAGGGAAGGGAGGGGGAUUAAGAAACAUAGGGAAAGCAACUGGAAUAGGAACUCACAGAGGGAUAGUGGGAGAGAGUGGGGGAUAGGAAGGGAGUGCAGACAAGUAGGUGUAAAAAAAAAGAAAAGCUAUCUCAAGGGAAAGGGACAUAUUAGAACUGGAGAGAAGAGAGAGGGACUAGUCUUCAGUGACAAUUCAGGAGGGCAAUAUAGAAAUAGUCAAGGUCCCAGAAAAUUCCCAAGAAAUUGACUAGAGAGAGUGUUAUACAUUUUGAAUAAUCCCAGAUAUAAUGUUAAAUGUGAACUAGAUUUUGAAGACGAAGAAGUAUUGCCUUUGGGUCCGACUAUGAACCGGGCAAACCUCAUCAGAAAACACUGAGGGGGGAAAAAAGCAGCAAAGGAAACGUUGCUUAAUAUUUUAUUCUGUUUCUAAGUGGCUUACAUUAUAUUCAUCUUUUUACAUAAAAAGCGUAAAAGGCUUUUCUUU